rnacentral:rRNA from 1 species
UACGUAGGGCGCAAGCGUUGUCCGGAAUUAUUGGGCGUAAAGAGCUCGUAGGCGGUCUGUCGCGUCUGGUGUGAAAAUCCAGGGCUUAACCCUGGACCUGCAUCGGGUACGGGCAGACUAGAGUGCGGUAGGGGAGAUUGGAAUUCCUGGUGUAGCGGUGGAAUGCGCAGAUAUCAGGAGGAACACCAAUGGCGAAGGCAGAUCUCUGGGCCGUAACUGACGCUGAGGAGCGAAAGCAUGGGGAGCGAACAGG